GAUGAACGCUGGCGGCGUGCCUAAUACAUGCAAGUCGAGCGAACAGACGAGGAGCUUGCUCCUUUGACGUUAGCGGCGGACGGGUGAGUAACACGUGGGUAACCUACCUAUAAGACUGGGAUAACUUCGGGAAACCGGAGCUAAUACCGGAUAAUAUUUCGAACCGCAUGGUUCGAUAGUGAAAGAUGGCUUUGCUAUCACUUAUAGAUGGACCUGCGCCGUAUUAGCUAGUUGGUAAGGUAACGGCUUACCAAGGCAACGAUACGUAGCCGACCUGAGAGGGUGAUCGGCCACACUGGAACUGAGACACGGUCCAGACUCCUACGGGAGGCAGCAGUAGGGAAUCUUCCGCAAUGGGCGAAAGCCUGACGGAGCAACGCCGCGUGAGUGAUGAAGGUCUUCGGAUCGUAAAACUCUGUUAUUAGGGAAGAAUAAACGUGUAAGUAACUGUGCACGUCUUGACGGUACCUAAUCAGAAAGCCACGGCUAACUACGUGCCAGCAGCCGCGGUAAUACGUAGGUGGCAAGCGUUAUCCGGAAUUAUUGGGCGUAAAGCGCGCGUAGGCGGUUUUUUAAGUCUGAUGUGAAAGCCCACGGCUCAACCGUGGAGGGUCAUUGGAAACUGGAAAACUUGAGUGCAGAAGAGGAAAGUGGAAUUCCAUGUGUAGCGGUGAAAUGCGCAGAGAUAUGGAGGAACACCAGUGGCGAAGGCGACUUUCUGGUCUGUAACUGACGCUGAUGUGCGAAAGCGUGGGGAUCAAACAGGAUUAGAUACCCUGGUAGUCCACGCCGUAAACGAUGAGUGCUAAGUGUUAGGGGGUUUCCUCCCCUUAGUGCUGCAGCUAACGCAUUAAGCACUCCGCCUGGGGAGUACGACCGCAAGGUUGAAACUCAAAGGAAUUGACGGGGACCCGCACAAGCGGUGGAGCAUGUGGUUCAAUUCGAAGCAACGCGAAGAACCUUACCAAAUCUUGACAUCCUUUGACCCUUCUAGAGAUAGAAGUUUCCCCUUCGGGGGACAAAGUGACAGGUGGUGCAUGGUUGUCGUCAGCUCGUGUCGUGAGAUGUUGGGUUAAGUCCCGCAACGAGCGCAACCCUUAAGCUUAGUUGCCAUCAUUAAGUUGGGCACUCUAAGUUGACUGCCGGUGACAAACCGGAGGAAGGUGGGGAUGACGUCAAAUCAUCAUGCCCCUUAUGAUUUGGGCUACACACGUGCUACAAUGGACAAUACAAAGGGCAGCGAAACCGCGAGGUCAAGCAAAUCCCAUAAAGUUGUUCUCAGUUCGGAUUGUAGUCUGCAACUCGACUACAUGAAGCUGGAAUCGCUAGUAAUCGUAGAUCAGCAUGCUACGGUGAAUACGUUCCCGGGUCU
rnacentral:rRNA from 1 species